ensembl:snRNA U6 U6 spliceosomal RNA
AUGCUCACUUUAGCAACACAUAUAUUGAAAUUGGAAUGAUAUAGAGAAGAUUAACAUGGCCUCUGUGCAAAGAUGACUCACAAAUUCGUCAAGCAUUCCAUAUUUUU